rnacentral:sRNA from 1 species
GAUGGAAGAGAAGAGGUAAAAGAGAUACGGUG